rnacentral:rRNA from 1 species
AUUGAACGCUGGCGGCAUGCCUUACACAUGCAAGUCGAACGGCAGCACGGGUGCUUGCACCUGGUGGCGAGUGGCGAACGGGUGAGUAAUACAUCGGAACAUGUCCUGUAGUGGGGGAUAGCCCGGCGAAAGCCGGAUUAAUACCGCAUACGAUCUACGGAUGAAAGCGGGGGACCUUCGGGCCUCGCGCUAUAGGGUUGGCCGAUAGCUGAUUAGCUAGUUGGUGGGGUAAAGGCCUACCAAGGCGACGAGCAGUAGCUGGUCUGAGAGGACGACCAGCCACACUGGGACUGAGACACGGCCCAGACUCCUACGGGAGGCAGCAGUGGGGAAUUUUGGACAAUGGGCGAAAGCCUGAUCCAGCAAUGCCGCGUGUGUGAAGAAGGCCUUCGGGUUGUAAAGCACUUUUGUCCGGAAAGAAAUCCUUGGCUCUAAUACAGUCGGGGGAUGACGGUACCGGAAGAAUAAGCACCGGCUAACUACGUG